AUUGAACGCUGGCGGCAGGCUUAACGCAUGCAAGUCGAGCGGAGAUGAGGUGCUUGCACCUUAUCUUAGCGGCGGACGGGUGAGUAAUGCUUAGGAAUCUGCCUAUUAGUGGGGGACAACAUUCCGAAAGGAAUGCUAAUACCGCAUACGUCCUACGGGAGAAAGCAGGGGAUCUUCGGACCUCGCGCUAAUAGAUGAGCCUAAGUCGGAUUAGCUAGUUGGUGGGGUAAAGGCCUACCAAGGCGACGAUCUGUAGCGGGUCUGAGAGGAUGAUCCGCCACACUGGGACUGAGACACGGCCCAGACUCCUACGGGAGGCAGCAGUGGGGAAUAUUGGACAAUGGGGGGAACCCUGAUCCAGCCUUGCCGCGUGUGUGAAGAAGGCCUUAUGGUUGUAAAGCACUUUAAGCGAGGAGGAGGCUACUGAGACUAAUACUCUUGGAUAGUGGACGUUACUCGCAGAAUAAGCACCGGCUAACUCUGUGCCAGCCGCCGCAGUAA
rnacentral:rRNA from 1 species